rnacentral:ncRNA from 1 species
AAACUCUGGAGAAUCUCUUAAAUGAGUGCCGAAGGUGCAAGGUCCGUAAGGACCGAAACUCUCAGGCAAAAGGACAGAGGC